rnacentral:rRNA from 1 species
AGAAUCAACGCUGGCGGCGUGCCUAACACAUGCAAGUCGAACGAGAAAGUGGAGCAAUCCAUGAGUAAAGUGGCGACCGGGUGAGUAACACGUGACUAACCUACCUUCGAGUGGGGGAUAACAUCGGGAAACCGAUGCUAAUACCGCAUAACAUCGCAAGAUCAAAGCAGCAAUGCGCUGGAAGAGGGGGUCGCGGCUGAUUAGCUAGUUGGCGGGGUAACGGCCCACCAAGGCGAAGAUCGGUA